AUUGAACGCUGGCGGCAGGCUUAACACAUGCAAGUCGAGCGAGCGGCGGACGGGUGAGUAACGUGUGGUAACCUACCAAUAAGAGGGGGAUAACAAUUGGAAACGAGAGCUAAAACCGAAUACUAGGAGAUGGACGUGCGUUGGAUUAGCUAGUAGGUAGGGUAAAGGCAGACCAAGGCAACGAUACAUAGCCGACCUGAGAGGGUGAUCAGCCACACUGAGACUGAGACACGGUCCAGACGCCUACGGGAGGCAGCAGUGGGGAAUUUUGCACAAUGGGCGCAAACCUGAUGCAACCAUGCCGCGUGUGUGAAGAAGGCCUUCGGGUUGUAAAGCACUUUCAGCGAGGAGGCGUUACUCGCAGAAGAAGCACCGGCUAACUCCGUGCCAGCCGCCGCGGUAAUUC
rnacentral:rRNA from 1 species